UAUAAUGCAGUCGAGCGACAGAUAAGGAGCUUGCUCCUUUGACGUUAGCGGCGGACGGGUGAGUAACACGUGGGUAACCUACCUAUAAGACUGGAAUAACUCCGGGAAACCGGGGCUAAUGCCGGAUAACAUAUAGAACCGCAUGGUUCUAUAGUGAAAGAUGGUUUUGCUAUCACUUAUAGAUGGACCCGCGCCGUAUUAGCUAGUUGGUAAGGUAAUGGCUUACCAAGGCGACGAUACGUAGCCGACCUGAGAGGGUGAUCGGCCACACUGGAACUGAGACACGGUCCAGACUCCUACGGGAGGCAGCAGUAGGGAAUCUUCCGCAAUGGGCGAAAGCCUGACGGAGCAACGCCGCGUGAGUGAUGAAGGGUUUCGGCUCGUAAAACUCUGUUAUUAGGGAAGAACAUAUGUGUAAGUAACUGUGCACAUCUUGACGGUACCUAAUCAGAAAGCCACGGCUAACUACGUGCCAGCAGCCGCGGUAAUACGUAGGUGGCAAGCGUUAUCCGGAAUUAUUGGGCGUAAAGCGCGCGUAGGCGGUUUCUUAAGUCUGAUGUGAAAGCCCACGGCUCAACCGUGGAGGGUCAUUGGAAACUGGGAAACUUGAGUGCAGAAGAGGAAAGUGGAAUUCCAUGUGUAGCGGUGAAAUGCGCAGAGAUAUGGAGGAACACCAGUGGCGAAGGCGACUUUCUGGUCUGUAACUGACGCUGAUGUGCGAAAGCGUGGGGAUCAAACAGGAUUAGAUACCCUGGUAGUCCACGCCGUACACGAU
rnacentral:rRNA from 1 species